rnacentral:lncRNA from 1 species
CUGUUAUUGGCUCUCCCUUGAAGCAUUUUGUUUUUCAGUGGCUCUGCAUUACUAGAUGGGAAUCUGCUUCUUCACUCCCAGUCUAAAGGGUAAGUGUCAGUAAGCCUGCAGACUGGGCUGGGGCUCUGCCAUCCACAGCGUAAGGUCUGAAAUGCCUGCUCGUGAGUUGCUCCACCAGCGAUGCGAGCAACUGAAAGAAACUCCUGCACCACUUCUGCGUGCUUCUCAAGAACUACAAGUUGGUGUUGGAAAAGAGAUUCUUUUUCACUCAACUGUCAGAAAUUAAACUUUGUGAGACCUGCUCUAGGUGGAGAAGUGGGUUGCCAGGGUAGGCAAUGAAUGGGUAAGGAAGGAAGGGCCAUGGGCUUGUUUGACCUUGGGAGAUACUGCGUUGUAUUAGGUACAAAGAAAAUUGCUGCCACUUCUCAGUGAUCUUCCUGUAUAACUAAAUAUUCGCUCAUUAGGGCUUUUUGUUGUUGUCGUUCACCUUCUCACCUUCUUUCAUUAAAUCCAGAUCUUUAACAUCCCAGCUGAGCAGCACAGGGAAGGCUGAGAAAUGGCAGGAAGGCAUUUUCCUUUGUUCAUAUGUUUUGUUUUGUUUUUCAUCACCAAGCAGAGGAUUGGUAAUGAGGAGAUGGAUCAUCCUUUCAUUUCAAACCAUAUGAGGAGUAUGUUCCAACAGAUAAUAAACAAGCACAUCGUGCAAAGAAGGGGGGUGAGGAGGCAGGUUAAUAAAGCUUUUGUUCUCCUUUGAUUAAACUCUUACAAACGAGUCAUCAAAACUUUCCAAUUAAAAGGCUAUAAAUAUUAUAUGUCUAAAUAUUUCACUUUUAAAAAAUAGGGCAAGCAGCAGUAUUAUAAUGCUAAAAUACGGCA